rnacentral:rRNA from 1 species
GUUUCGGUUGUUAUAGCGUAAGGGAAACGCCCGGUCUCCAUUUCGAACCCGGUAGCUAAGCCUUACAGCGCUGAUGGUACUGCACUCGGGAGGGUGUGGGAGAGUAGGACGCAGCCGGACUU